ensembl:lncRNA
CGCUGCGCGGUCGGUGAGGUGGGCUGUGCGGAUGGCUCUGCUUCGGUCCUGGUGUCUGAGCGCUUUCUGCGAGAGCUGAGACCCUCGCGAGCUCUAGCCCUGCUUAAGGCUCCUAACCUUUGGGUUCUACAAAACGCUGAAUGUCAUGCAGGACGGUGUAGCCCAGGGCUGCACGGAGCAGCAACCAUCCUCCCUGUGACCCAACCGCAGGCGGUGGUGCCAGCAGAUGCCCGGUGCCGGCAGCGGAACGGCACCCAGAGCCCAUCUGUGCAGCAGCAGCUGGGGGCAGAGCGGGGCGGUGCGGAGCAGCACCUGCAUGGGGAGCGGCCGGCGGUGAGACCUGUGCCCGAGAAUGGAGCGGGGAGCAGGGAGAAGCCUCCAGCGGGCAGCACGCCUGCACUGAGGGAAAAGCAGGAGAUCGCAAAGAAACCCAGCGUGGGGAAGAAGCCAGAGUGUGAGGGGAAGGAUGGGAAUGGGGAAAAGCCAAAGAUAACGCCAGGAGCAAUGGCAAAACCAGAGGGUGGGGGGAAAGUGGAGAGUGGAGGGAAAACUGAGAGUGGGAAAAAGCCAGGGACUGGGGGGAAGCCAACGGGUGGAGAGAAACCCGUGCUGGGGAAAAAGCCAGAGGCGGGGGGAAAGCCGGAGGCUGGGGGGAAACAGGAGAGUGGGGAGAAGCUCAAGUUGGGAGAGAAACAGCCCGAGCAUGGAGAUGGUGAGGUGGGUGAUGACAUUGAUGACGAUGAUGACGAUGACAGUGAUGACGAUGGUGAUGAGAAAAAAGGGUAUGAGGAUGAUAUGGCUGAUGACCAUGAUUAUUACUAUGGCUACAAUGACGACGAGGGCUAUGAUGAUGACGAUAAUGGUGACGGUAACAAUGGCAGUGAUGACAACGGUGGAAAUGGGAAUGACUAUGGAGAUGCCGAUGGAUACGGUGACGGUGAUGACUGAAGAUUACAGUGGUGGAGAUGGCAGCGAUGCUGGCGCGAUGAUGCUUGGUGACCAGCACUGUGGGGCGUGUGCAGGGCACAAGGUGCAAUGACAGCCCAUGGCAGGUGGGCACACGGAGCUGCCCCCAACCUCCCCUCGCCUCACUCUGCCAGGGCCAGUCCUGGACACCAGCGCUGUUUUGGGCAGGACCUUCUAUUUCCUAAUAAAUCCCACAGUGGGC